rnacentral:misc_RNA from 1 species
AAGUCGUAACAAGGUUUCCGUAGGUGAACCUGCGGAAGGAUCAUUAACACGUAUCCAAACGUAAAAAACCCCCCCCGUGAACAUUCAAUCCUGCUCUUGUAACCCGCGUAGUUCGCAAUCUCUGGUAAAUCAUAGCCCGGAAAGUAGUUUUGAUUCAGAGACCUCUGGCUACGUGAGAACAUUGGAACAGUUACAAUCGAGCGGUAGUUUCAUAGGCAUUGUUUCCCCAAGCAGUUAGUGUCAGUGUCACUGAUUGUGCAAGGAUAGCGCUUCGACGAUUCCUGUAGACCGUACACUCGGGCAGGAGCUAUGCCAAUGCCCCCUGAAAACCCCACAGUUUAAUGUGAAGCACCGAACAACUGUUAACAAUGGAUAUCUUGGUUCUC